UUUGAAACCAAAAUUAAGAUUUGCUGGACAUAUUUUUUCUCUACCUACAAUGAGAAACAACAGUAGGUCAUAUGAUGGUUUGAACACAAUGGGAAUAUAUGUGAACACAUAGAAGCUUGUAAUUCACCACCGCUUAGUCAGUGACAAAGGCUAAAUUACGUAGGUCAUAUGAUGGUUUGAACCAUUCUUUAUAUGACUACUUAUUAACAAACUCGUGAAUGGUGCUGAUAAUGACCACUUCAUGCUCAACAUAAAUGAAUUGGAUAAAUUUUUAUAAUCAUCAUAGUAAUGUGUGGAAUCAGGAAUUGUUACCUUGAAAAAAUAUGUAUCUUGUCUAACCCGUGCACCAAAUAUAUCCUAAAUGUUUGGCUCUAUUGGCAAAUUAGAAAUUAUAAACUAACAAAUAUAACUACGAUAAAAAAUGGUUUAUCUUGAAAUAUGUCUAAAUACUUCUCAAUUAAUUCAGCCAUCUUUAAGUCCAAAUACAUGGUACAUACACACAAGGACCACAUUAAAUAGACAAGAUUGUUGCUCCAAUUAGAGGUACUACAAUUGUAUGAACUUUGAUGAACAAGUUGCACAUAGAAAUUACGUGCGAGGAGACAAGUUGACAAAGUUGCGAAAAGGUGUUUUUGAUUUCAUAUACGUGUCAUGAGAAUUGAUGAAAGUCUGCUUAUUUCUCCAAGCCCAAGAUAUGUCACACGUGCUCUAACAUUUUGGAAUAAAAUAGAGCCAAUUUAUCUUUGAAUUUGAGAUGGCUGAAGGUGGUUUAUAACAUCAAUCAUCAUCAUAAUCUAUGCAACUAAAUAUGUCAUGUUAAUGGUAAAAAAUUUUGUUGUCCG
rnacentral:lncRNA from 1 species